CCCUUAGAUGUCCUGGGCCGCACGCGCGCUACACUGAUGCAUGCAACGAGUUUAUAACCUUGGCCUGAAAGGUCUGGGUAAUCUUUUGAACGUGCAUCGUGAUAGGGAUAGAUUAUUGCAAUUGUUAAUCUUGGACGAGGAAUUCCUAGUAAACGCGAGUCAUCAGCUCGCAUUGAUUACGUCCCUGCCCUUUGUACACACCGCCCGUCGCACCUACCGAUUGAAUGGUUCGGUGAAGAUCUCGGACUUCGAUAUUUAUUCUUUAUUGAGUUUAUAUUGUGGGAAGUUAUCUAAACCUCAUCAUUUAGAGGAAGGUGAAGUCGUAACA
rnacentral:rRNA from 1 species